CUCCUCAACACCCUCCAAUGCAGACUCUCAGGAAGGACCACAGGAAGACACAGCAAGAAGACUGCCAUCUGCAAGCCAGGAAGAGAGCCAUCACCAGAGCCUAACCAUGCUAGUCCUUUGAUCUGGAACUUGCAGCCUCCAGAACUAUGAACCAAGCAAGUCUCACAGAGAUGAAGUGAUGUGCUCAAGAUCACACAGCAAGCCAGAAUAAAAUCUAGACAGGUUCCAAGACCCAAGAUCUUCUCUCUCUCCUGGACCGACAGUCAUCUAGCUUUUCCUUGAAUACCUCCAGUGAUGAUAUUUCCU